rnacentral:rRNA from 1 species
AUUGAACGCUGGCGGCAUGCCUUACACAUGCAAGUCGAACGGCAGCACGGGGGCAACCCUGGUGGCGAGUGGCGAACGGGUGAGUAAUACAUCGGAACGUGCCCAGUAGUGGGGGAUAGCUCGGCGAAAGCCGGAUUAAUACCGCAUACGACCUACGGGUGAAAGCGGGGGAUCGCAAGACCUCGCGCUAUUGGAGCGGCCGAUGUCAGAUUAGGUUGUUGGUGGGGUAAAGGCCACCAAGCCGACGAUCUGUAGCUGGUCUGAGAGGACGACCAGCCACACUGGGACUGAGACACGGCCCAGACUCCUACGGGAGGCAGCAGUGGGGAAUUUUGGACAAUGGGCGCAAGCCUGAUCCAGCCAUGCCGCGUGCGGGAAGAAGGCCU